rnacentral:rRNA from 1 species
AGUGAACGCUGGCGGUAGGCCUAACACAUGCAAGUCAAACGGCAGCACAGUAAGAGCUUGCUCUUACGGGUGGCGAGUGGCGGACGGGUGAGGAAUACAUCGGAAUCUACUUUUUCGUGGGGGAUAACGUAGGGAAACUUACGCUAAUACCGCAUACGACCUACGGGUGAAAGCAGGGGAUCUUCGGACCUUGCGCGAUUGAAUGAGCCGAUGUCGGAUUAGCUAGUUGGCGGGGUAAAGGCCCACCAAGGCGACGAUCCGUAGCUGGUCUGAGAGGAUGAUCGGCCACACUGGAACUGAGACACGGUCCAGACUCCUACGGGAGGCAGCAGUGGGGAAUAUUGGACAAUGGGCGCAAGCCUGAUCCAGCCAUACCGCGUGGGUGAAGAAGGCCUUCGGGUUGUAAAGCCCUUUUGUUGGGAAAGAAAAGCAGCAGGUUAAUACCCCGCUGUUCUGACGGUACCCAAAGAAUAAGCACCGGCUAACUUCGUG